UUUUGGAAGGAGGAAGUCGUAACAAGGUUUCCGUAGGUGAACCUGCGGAAGGAUCAUUGUCGAAACCUGCCUAGCAGAAUGACCAGCGAACUUGUUGUCAAAUACAUAUUGAUGGGGUCGGAUACGGAUACGGCCAUUGGCCCUUCGUAGUUGGCCCUGUUUGGUGGGGAUUUGGCCUUUGUGGUCGUAUCCUUGCCGCCUAAACUAACAAACCCCGACGCGGCAUGCGUCAAGGAAUACUAUAAAGUGAACGACGUGUUCUCGCCACCGAGCACGGUGUGUGGGGAUCGGCGAUCCAUGAAAGUAACAACGACUCUCGGCAACGGAUAUCUCGGCUCUCGCAUCGAUGAAGAACGUAGCGAAAUGCGAUACUUGGUGUGAAUUGCAGAAUCCCGUGAACCAUCGAGUCUUUGAACGCAAGUUGCGCCCGAAGCCAUCCGGCUGAGGGCACGUCUGCCUGGGUGUCACGCAACGUCGCCCCACCACCCACUGUGGAGGUGGAGCGGAAGUUGGCCUCCCGAGGGCUCAACAUGAGCUUUACGGUUUGCCGAAAAUGAAGUUGUCGUUCGAGGUCGCCACGACGAGCUGUGGUUGGAUGACCCUAGUUUAUAAAAGUCGUGGUUGUUCCUUCUUCGACGAUGCAACGAUGGACCUCGAGGGAAUAGUUUCCCCUUUUAGAUGCGACCCCCCAGGUUCAGGCGGAAA
rnacentral:rRNA from 1 species